GGAACUCGGCCCCGGCUGUUCUCCCGGCCGGGAGGCAACAGCGCCCCGGGACCCCCCUAGUUCGCACUACCCAUUCAAGUUCUCGGGGCCCUGCGCCCGAUUCGGAGGUGGCGCCCGCCGCCCGCCCUGCCUCUGUGCCCCCGUUUCCAGUCACCGCGCGGAAAUUUAGGUCAAGGACGCCGGGAGCACACCCACACCCUGCGCUCCCAGGGCAGUCCUCGAGAUCCUCGGGAUCUCGGGAGCUUGCGGAUGGAGGAGACCCUCCUGCACAAACAUCAGCCACAAGUUUUAUUUUCCCUUCGCGCGGCAAGUUCUCUGGCUCCCGCUCCACACUGGCACGUCCUGCACGGCUCCCCGCCCUUCCCCGGCAGAGAAUUAGGAGACAAUGGAAUUCACUCAUCACCAAAACUGUGCCGUGUCCAUUGUGGCUUUUGGAGACAUUUGGAAAAUCUUGAGUGGUCAGACUGUCAAUCUUCUCUGUCCCCUAAACUGAGAUAAUGCCUCUCUGACAGCAUCGAUGGGCGGAGCAUUUGUAGUGAACAAUGUAACAAUGUCAAAGUCCCUCUUUAAAAUUGCGAACUUACAUGGGCUGUGUUUAUUAUGAAUUGUGAAUAUGAUUUUUAGAAGGCACUUCAUAAGACUUCAGACCACAAACCCUGCUGUUUCCCAACACUCCAAACAAGCUGAUUUUUGAAUCAUCUGGGUCCCCAUGUGUUAAAGAGCUGCAUGUUUUUAUGAUGGUAAUUGUUUUUUUGCGAUUAUUCUCAAUCACAAAGUACAGGCAACACAGCUAAUUGGAUUAUAUUUUGGAUUUUUACCGCAGAACCACAGACCAUCAGAGUUAGAAAGGCCUUUCUUUACCCAGCUCCUUCCUUGAAUAUAGGAGUCCCAAAGGUGCCAGGCUGUCAAGCCACCUUCCCACCCCAACCAGUUAAUACCUAAGAGGGGCUCUGGCCAUGGUCCAGUGCCCUUUGACUCUGUAGUGUGCUGUUCCUCACUAGGCAGAAGUCAGUGGCUACCUUCCUGAUAUCGACUUGAACAGACUCUUAAGUGGUGAGCCGAGAGGAGACCUGAUGGGCCGGGGCCCCAAGCUCUGCAGUGUCCAAGCCAGAGACUGAUAAAGGACUAAAGGAGAAAGCUACGUCUCUCCACUGUUUUUACUAAGGUUGGUAUUGUUGGAGUUGGAGUCUUGCAAUGCAAGAACCCAGACAGGCCUUGAACUGGAGAGAUCAUCCUGACAAUGGCCACCCCACCCCACCACCGCCAAGUUUUAUUUUCCCUUCUCAGAUUAUGUUGUUUUGUCGAGAUGGUGUCUCAUGCGGCCCAGGCUGAUGGCAAACUCCAUAGAUUUCGGAGGAUGGCCUUGAACUUCUGAUAUUCUUGCCUCUGCUGUUGCGAUUGUAGCUUUGUGCCACCACCGUGCCAGGUGUGCAGUGCUGGAGAUCAAACCCAAGGCUCUACACUUGCUAGAGGGAAGCUUCCACCAACCGAGCUACACACCCGGCCUUCAGGAGGUGUUUUUGCUUGUCCCAUCGCACCGCCCCCAACACACCCCUAGGUGCCAACACUUUGCUACAGGCCUUCUUUCCCCGCUCCCUGAUUCUGAGAUUUGACCAUUGUACAGAUUGUAGGGUGACCAUCAAGAUAAGCGUGUGGGACUGUUUCAUUGUCCAAAGCAAACAUGUAACAUCACACUGCCUUGAGGACUCACCCCCACCCCCACCCUGUUCUGCCCUUGCCCACACUCUCCAGGGUUCUCGGGUCCCUGGGCACUGUUCCUUUUCAGUCUCUGGGUCCUCUCUGCGUCUCUACUUUUCCUUUAAACAUUGGUGUGCUUCCUCAGCCUGAUGCUCUCCUCCGACUACCCCCUCUCUGGAUGACCUUCCUAGCAGGAUGGGUUUAAAUACCACCUACAUGCUGAUGCCGCUCCAGAUCUCCUCCGGCCCUGACCUUGCCAGCGUUCCAGGCUCUACACAGUAUCCUUUUCUCUACGCAUCUCCACUUACCUUUCCUAGAGGUAUUCCGGACGCAAUACCACCAAAGCCACAUACGUACUACUACUGUCCCCUACAUUUGAACCUCUUUUUGGAAUCUUCCUCAGUGAAUAGCCUCAGCCAGCCUGGAGACAACAUGGUUGAACUCUGCCCUUACCAUGUGCAGCUCUGUAGCAUCCACCUUGUAAAUUCCGCUCAAAUCUGUCUUUCUUCUUAUUAUUAGUUAUUACUUAAAUUUUAAAAGUUUUAUUUCCGUGGUCUGUGUGUGCCUGUGUGAUCAUAGGACAGCUUUCAAAAGGCUGUUCUCUCUUUCUCCUAGAUUGUAGAGGUUGAAAUUUAGAUGGUCAGGGUCAGGCUUCCUCAGCAAAAAUGUAUACCCAAUGUAGCAUCAAAGCCAUCUCUCCUGCUACAGUAUAUCGGACCUCUUGCAGAAGCCCUGGGAUUGUCUCCCACAGCUGCCCAUGAGGACUCUUAGUCCCUUUAUAUGCCUGGGAAGCUUUCCCACACUUCUCUAACCAGGUCAGAUGGCUCUUGAUAGACACUUAACCCUACUGGAAGGUCCUCCGUGUACCUUACCUUGUGUGAUCAUUUGCUUUAUCAUCCGUCACUGCCAAGCCGCGAGCUCCCAUUCUGUUUUGCUCUCCUUGUACCAGUACAGUACCUGCUAGUUCAUGGCUGACAAUAAAUAAUUCUGGUGGGGGACAGAUUGAUAAAUGAGUGAAUGUUGCUGUCCAGUUUCACCCUAGGAUCUGUUUUGUGUAGUCGUGUGCAGAAGUCAAACUGGCUGCAGUUUCCUCCUAAGGUUGUCCCUUUAUAUUGGUCUCCUAACAUAGUAAAUGUUGCUUGCAUUCUUCUUUCUUUUUCUUUUCUUUUCUUUUUUUCCACUCCCACUUUCUGGAACAGUAUGUUAAAGACUGGAAUUAGGCCUGGCCUGAUGAUACACACCAGCAAUUGGGAGGCAGAGGCAGGAGGGUCACUGUAAGUUCAGGGUUAGUCUUGUCUGCCUAGUAAGUCCCAGAGCAGACAAGAAUACAUAAUAAAACCCUGUCUC
rnacentral:lncRNA from 1 species